UCCAGACUCCUACGGGAGGCAGCAGUGGGGAAUAUUGCACAAUGGGGGAAACCCUGAUGCAGCGACGCCGCGUGAGCGAAGAAGUAUUUCGGUAUGUAAAGCUCUAUCAGCAGGGAAGAAAUUGACGGUACCUGAGUAAGAAGCUCCGGCUAAAUACGUGCCAGCAGCCGCGGUAAUACGUAUGGAGCAAGCGUUAUCCGGAUUUACUGGGUGUAAAGGGAGCGUAGGCGGCCUGCCAAGUCUGAUGUGAAAUGCCGGGGCUCAACCCCGGGGCUGCAUUGGAAACUGACAGGCUGGAGUGUCGGAGAGGCAGGCGGAAUUCCUAGUGUAGCGGUGAAAUGCGUAGAUAUUAGGAGGAACACCAGUGGCGAAGGCGGCCUGCUGGACGAUGACUGACGCUGAGGCUCGAAAGCGUGGGGAGCAAACAGGAUUAGAUACCCCGGUAC
rnacentral:rRNA from 1 species